CCCCCCCUACCCCCAAGCGCGGCGGCGGCGGCCAGAUCCCUCAGCCAAGUUUGCCAAGUACGCCGGCGCGGAGGUGAUGUUCCAUCUUUCCGAUGGCUCUUGCCAGCUGUGUCGCCGGCGGUUCGGUUUGAGGCCGAGCAGAUCAGAUCUCAUGGAGUACUAAGAUCCGCGUCGCUGUGUGCUCAUUGCAGCCUCCCGAUCUCAGGCUCCGGCAGCGGCUAGUUCGUCGUCUCCUGUCAAUCUCAGGACCUAGGAUCAGCUCGCAUCCUGCUCCACCUCGUUGGUUGCAAGCCGGAGGUGGGCUCCUCAGCUCCUUCCCCGACCAGCCUGUGUGACGUGGUGCGAACAUAGAAGGCGUCACCACCGUGAUUAAUUCUCCUGGUCUCGUCUCUUCCAGCACAAGAAGCUCGAUGAGCAAUAAGCACUAGUAACGCAGGCAAAGGCAGCUUUACUGUUGUGUACCAUCAAGUGCCAAAAGUUGAUGCAAUUUAUAGUGGCAAUGCUUGUUGAACGGUGAUUAUUUUAGUCCUUGGUUUUUAGUCUUGCCUGUUAUUUACCAAAAAUGAUCCUCUCAUGUUAUGUAACACUUGAUAUUAUGUGUGUCUCUUCUAUUGUGUUUGGUCUGGGAUCAUGCAGUUCGAAAUGUAUGUUUAGUUAUGAUUUGAAGUGGACGGAUUACUAUUCUCAUGUAUUCUAAUAUUUUUGUAAUGAUGUUCACAUACUUUUAUUGACCAACAUGUUCGGAUUGCUUGCA